UUCACAAAAACAGUAGUACGGAGAGCCCUGAUAAGUUCGCUGAAGUCACAUAGCUAUUUGAAUAGGACAGAAUAGGUUCUUGGCGACCCUCUAGCCCGCCACUUUCCUUAUUCGCCCUGACGUUGUUAAGUCUCUGUGAUACCCUACUCCACACCCGACCCCCGGGUGACUGUGCAAGUGUCUGCCUUGGCUGUUGUAUGCAGGUCUACCGACGGGACGAGGGGCUAAAACGUGCAGGGGGAGGGGCGCAGGCCGCAUUAGCAGGCGCGGGAAACCGGUGCACCCCGACCGCAUGCACGGCCACGCGGGUGCACCCGGCCCCACUUCCUGCCAGAGGGGGCACCCAAGCCCGCCUUGGGGCAGGAAACCUGGCGCGCGCGGGGGAGAGGAAGAAAGCUACGUCCCUCCGUGCCCUCCCCGCAAAAUAAAGCCCCAGGAAAAUAAACUGAAACGGGGAGUCAAAGGGACUAGUUCCAACAGAGCCCAGCAAAGCAGAGAAACCAGUUUGUGAGGGUGGAGGGCAGGCCUGGCCCUGGGGGCUGAAGAGGCACGCAGGCAGGGCCAGAGGUGGGGUCGGGGUGAAGCCCCAAACCUAGGCCCACGAUUCGGCCUCAUCUGCGAGGAGGAACACCAGGUUUCGUUAGUGUUUGUGUAUUUAAUGUGUGGCCCAAGACAACUCUUCUUCCAGUGCAGCCCACAGAUGCCAAAGAUUGGACACCCCUGGAACCUAUGAUACAAACCAGGAUAUGUUUUAAGGAACUCAGUCACUGAGGGACCGGUGGCCCUCUGGAUCUGGAACACCGGAGUGGCCUGGAAGGCUGAGCAGUGUCCGUCUAAGAGCAAACCCAGGCUUGAACAUGCUCUCUCCCAUCCCCGCCUACGCUGAGCCCCUAGCUGACACCUGGACUCUGCCGCCCCCCAGGGUCACCCAGUGCUGGGCACAGGUGGAGACCAUGCACUUGGCUCUCAAACGGAGUGAGUCUGAGUUACAUGCUAGAAGCGUGAGAUCGUCACCAGAUUCCAAAGAUUUG